GUCAGCAGGCAGAUUCAUUUUCUGCCACCGAAUACAUUAGCAUGGGAUAAUGGAAUAGGACCCUGUCCUCCUAUUUUCAGUUGGUUUUGGCAGCGCGAGGACUAGGGUAAUGAUUAAUAGGGAUAGUUGGGGGCAUUAAUAUUUAAUUGUCAGAGGUGAAAUUCUUGGAUUUAUGAAAGAUUAACUUCUGCGAAAGCAUCUGCCAAGGAUGUUUUCAUUAAUCAAGAACGAAAGUUAGGGGAUCGAAGACGAUCAGAUACCGUCGUAGUCUUAACCAUAAACGAUGCCGACCAGCGAUUAGGAGACGUUGAAUACAAAACACCACCAUCGGCGCGGUCGUCCUUGGCGUUCGUGUUCACGCACGAGCGCGAGGGCGGUUUAGCCCGAUGGCACCGGUGAAUGACUCCCCUAG
rnacentral:rRNA from 1 species